GUGCCAGCCGCCGCGGUAAUACAGAGGUGGCAAGCGUUGUUCGGAAUUACUGGGCGUAAAGGGCGCGUAGGCGGUCUUUUAAGUUCCGUGUGAAAUCCCUCGGCUCAACUGGGGAACGGCACGGGAAACUGGGAGGCUUGAGUUCGGGAGAGGGAAGCGGAAUUCCGGGUGUAGCGGUGAAAUGCGUAGAUAUCCGGAGGAACACCGGUGGCGAAGGCGGCUUCCUGGACCGACACUGACGCUGAGGCGCGAAAGCUAGGGGAGCAAACGGGAUUAGAAACCCGCGUAGUCC
rnacentral:rRNA from 1 species